UUUACUUUUCCCACAAAGCACAAACUAGUAAUACUUAAGGCUCCUUGAUUUGUCCUUAUCGUUGUAAAUAAUAAAGACGGCUUUUAUUUGCUCACUCCAAAAUUAAAAAGUACUUUGUUAUAUGUAGAUGGCGUCACCUUAGCAUGGUCUUAUUUCUGCAUGUUCCUUUUUUUACAUCAAAACGUACCUAUAACGCCAUCUGUUGAAACUCUGGUGGAAACACCAUACAUAAAUCACCAUACUGUGAUAUCGCCAAAGUGACGCUAUCCAAAACAAUUUAUGAGAAAUGAAAAAUAGUAGUCAAUUUGACAGUCAACAUUUUUGUUACGAAUCAAGUGCUGCCGUCUAUGGGGAGUAAUAUUUAGUGGGUAACAGGCACUGUCACGCACCCAAACACGCAUACACGUUUUAUACAAAUGUACAGCUCUACACGUCACUAAUUAAUGAACACAAUUGCAUUUAUACAAGGCUGGGCCCAAAGGCCGGGAGCUGACCACUCAUCUUUAUCCUAAUAUUGAACAAAUUAUGAAAAAUGAAAAUAUACUGCGUCUAUUUUACCUAUUAUUUUUGCCAUUGCUAGACAGAAAGCUAUAACACACUUGAAUUCGAUUUUUAAAAGGUUGAAAAAAUUUAACAUAAAGAAAAUAAUUGCUUUGCCCGUCACUGUACGCAAAUCAAAUCUCUUAGAUGUAACUAUAAAGCCAAUAAUUAGUGAAAGAAUUAUUUUGUAUCUGUUGGUGAAAAAUAAUAUUAGCAUAAAGAUCAGUGAUAUUCAGCUGAUACAAAGCCGCAGAGGUCGAUAUAGAAUUGUAGAUGUCGCUACGCUUUCGUAGUUUACCCACAAUAUAAA